CGGGGUGCAGCAGGCGCGAAAACUUUACAAUGCUGGAAACAGCGAUAAGGGGACCUCGAGUGCCAGGUUACAAAUCUGGCUGUCGUGAUGCCUAAAAAGCAUUGCAUAGCAAGGGCCGGGCAAGACCGGUGCCAGCCGCCGCGGUAACACCGGCGGCUCGAGUGGUAACCGUUAUUAUUGGGUCUAAAGGGUCUGUAGCCGGCCGGAUAAGUCUCUUGGGAAAUCCAGCAGCUCAACUGUUGGGCUUUCAGGAGAUACUGUCUGGCUCGAGGCCGGGAGAGGUGAGAGGUACUUCAGGGGUAGGGGUGAAAUCUUGUAAUCCUUGAAGGACCACCAGUGGCGAAGGCGUCUCACCAGAACGGACCUGACGGCAAGGGACGAAAGCUAGGGGCACGAACCGGAUUAGAUACCCGGGUAGUCCUAGCCGUAAACGAUACUCGCUAGGUGUCGGCCACGGUGCGACCGUUGUCGGUGCCGUAGGGAAGCCGUGAAGCGAGCCACCUGGGAAGUACGGCCGCAAGGCUGAAACUUAAAGGAAUUGGCGGGGGAGCACAAGGGCGAAUCGCG
rnacentral:rRNA from 1 species